rnacentral:rRNA from 1 species
UAAUACGAAGGUGGCGAGCGUUGUUCGGAAUCACUGGGCUUAAAGCGCGCGCAGGCGGAGUGGACAGUGUCCUGUGAAAGCCCCCGGCUUAACCGGGGAAUUGCGGGGCCUACUGCCACUCUUGAGGCAAGUAGGGGUGCAUGGAACUCUUGGUGAGCGGUGGAAUGCGUAGAUAUCAAGAGGAACGCCGAAGGAGAAAUCAGUGCACUGGGCUUGUUCUGACGCUGAGGCGCGAAAGCGUGGGGAGCAAACGGGAUUAGAUACCCCGGUAGUCCACGCCGUAAACGAUGUCUACUAGGUUGUGGUUGUUCUGACACAGGCACAGCCGAAGCAAAAGUGUUAAGUAGACCGCCUGGGGAGUACGGCGGCAAGGCUA